CUCCAAUCACUGCCACCAAGCUACAAGAGCUUCGUGAUGAAUUAUAAUAUGCAAGGGAUGAACAAGACUAUUCCCGAGCUCUUCGCAAUGCUAAAGGCUGCGGAGGUAGAAAUCAAAAAGGAGCAUCAAGUGUUGAUGGUUAACAAGACCACAAGUUUCAAGAAAAAGGGCAAAGGGAAGAAGAAGGGGAACUUUAAAAAGAACAGCAAGCAAGUUGCUGCUCAAGAGAAGAAACCCAAGUCUGGACCUAAGCCUGAAACUGAGUGCUUCUACUACAAGCAGACUGGACACUGGAAGCGGAACUGCCCCAAGUAUUUGGCGGAUAAGAAGGAUGGCAAAGUGAAC
rnacentral:rRNA from 1 species